rnacentral:rRNA from 1 species
CCUAGUUAAUUCUACUAGUAGUUAUAUACUUAUCUUAAAGAUUAAGCUAUAUAUAUCUAAGUAUAAGUAACUAUACGGUAAUACUACGAAUAGCUUAUUAAAUUAGUUAUUAUUUAUUUAAUAGUACCUUACUAUAUAGAUAACCGUAGUAAUUCUAGAGCUAAUAUAUAAAAACCUCGACUUCGGAAGGGGUAUAUUUAUUAGAUAAAAAACUAAUACCCUUCGGGGCUCCUUAGUAAAUUAUAAUAACUUUACGAAUUAUAUAGCCUUACGCCGGCGAUAGUUUAUUUAAAUUUCUACCCUAUUAACUUUCGAUAGUAGGAUAGAGGCCUACUAUAGUUUUAACGGGUAACGGAGAAUUAGGGUUCGACUCCGGAGAGGGAGCCUAAGAAACGGCUACUAUAUCUAAGAAAGGUAGUAGGCGCGUAAAUUACCUAAUCCUAAUAUAGGGAGGUAGUAAUAAUAAAUACUAAUAUAGGGCUCUUUUAGGUCUUAUAAUUAGAAUAAGUAUAAUUUAAAUCCCUUAAUAAGGAACAAUUAGAGGGUAAGUCUAGUACUAGUAGCCGCGGUAAUUCUAGCUCUAAUAGCGUAUAUUAAAGUUAUUAUAGUUAAAAAGCUCGUAGUUAAACCUUAGGCCUAGCUAGCCGGUCCGCCUUACCGCGUAUACUAGUCCGGCCGGGCCUUUCCUUCUAGAGAGCCGUAUACCCUUUACUAGGCGUACCGGAGAACUAGGACUUUUACUUUAAAAAAAUUAGAGUAUUUAAAGUAGGCCUUUACUCGAAUAUAUUAGUAUAGAAUAAUAGAAUAGGACGUAUAGUUCUAUUUUGUUAGUUUCUAGGACCGCUAUAAUAAUUAAUAGGGAUAGUCGGGGGCAUCCGUAUUUAAUUAUUAGAGGUAAAAUUCUUAGAUUUAUUAAAGACGAACUACUACGAAAGUAUUUACUAAGGAUGUUUUUAUUAAUUAGUAAACGAAAGUUAGGGGAUCGAAGACGAUUAGAUACCGUCGUAGUCUUAACUAUAAACUAUACCGACUAGGGAUCGGUAGAUAUUAUCUUUUUAACUCUAUCGGUACCUUAUAAGAAAUUAAAGUUUUUAGGUUCUAGGGGGAGUAUAGUCGUAAGGCUAAAACUUAAAGAAAUUAACGGAAGGGUACUACUAGGCGUAGAGCCUACGGCUUAAUUUAACUUAAUACGGGGAAACUUAAUAGGUCUAGACAUAAGUAGGAUUAAUAGAUUAAGAGCUCUUUCUUAAUUUUAUAGGUAGUAUAAGGGGGGAACU